AGCGGGGGAUCUUCGGACCUCGCGCUAUGAGAUGAGCCUACGUCCGAUUAGCUAGUUGGUAGGGUAAUGGCCUACCAAGGCGAUGAUCGGUAGCUGGUCUGAGAGGACGAUCAGCCACACUGGAACUGAGACACGGUCCAGACUCCUACGGGAGGCAGCAGUGGGGAAUAUUGGACAAUGGGCGCAAGCCUGAUCCAGCAAUGCCGCGUGUGUGAAGAAGGCCUGCGGGUUGUAAAGCACUUUAAGCGGGGAAGAAAGGUGGGGUGUUAAUACCAUCUCACAUUGACGUUACCUGCAGAAUAAGCACCGGCUAACUCCGUGCCAGCAGCCGCGGUAAUACGGAGGGUGCGAGCGUUAAUCGGAAUUACUGGGCGUAAAGCGCGCGUAGGCGGUUUGUUAAGUCAGCUGUGAAAGCCCCGGGCUUAACCUGGGAAUGGCAGUUGAUACUGGCAGGCUAGAGUGUGGUAGAGGGGUGUGGAAUUUCCGGUGUAGCAGUGAAAUGCGUAGAGAUCGGAAGGAACACCAGUGGCGAAGGCGGCACCCUGGACCGACACUGACGCUGAGGUGCGAAAGCG
rnacentral:rRNA from 1 species